rnacentral:rRNA from 1 species
UGGACGUAUCAGAAGUGCGAAUGCUGACAUGAGUAACGAUAAAGGGGGUGAAAAACCUCCUCGCCGGAAGACCAAGGGUUCCUGUCCAACGUUAAUCGGGGCAGGGUAAGUCGACCCCUAAGGCGAGGCCGAAAGGCGUAGUCGAUGGGAAACGGGUUAAUAUUCCCGUACUUCUUACAAUUGCGAUGGGGGGACGGAGAAGGCUAGGUGGGCCUGGCGACGGUUGUCCAGGUUCAAGUGCGUAGGCUUGAGAGUUAGGUAAAUCCGGCUCUUUCUAAGGCWGAGACACGACGUCGAGCAUCUACGGRUGUGAAGUCAUUGAUGCCAUGCUUCCAGGAAAAGCCUCUAAGCUUCAGAUUGUAAGGAAUCGUACCCCAAACCGACACAGGUGGUCGGGUAGAGAAUACCAAGGCGCUUGAGAGAACUCGGGUGAAGGAACUAGGCAAAAUGGUACCGUAACUUCGGGAGAAGGUACGCUCUUGAUGGUGAAGUCCCUUGCGGAUGGAGCUGACGAGAGUCGCAGAUACCAGGUGGCUGCAACUGUUUAUUA